AUACGGAGGGUGCGAGCGUUAAUCGGAAUUACUGGGCGUAAAGCGUGCGUAGGUGGUUUGUUAAGUCAGAUGUGAAAGCCCCGGGCUCAACCUGGGAACUGCAUCUGAAACUGGCAUACUAGAGUAUAGGAGAGGAAAGUGGAAUUUCAGGUGUAGCGGUGAAAUGCGUAGAUAUCUGAAGGAACAUCAAUGGCGAAGGCAGCUUUCUGGACUAAUACUGACACUGAGGUACGAAAGCGUGGGUAGCAAACAGGAUUAGAUACCCUAGUAGUCC
rnacentral:rRNA from 1 species